rnacentral:rRNA from 1 species
UUGAAAGGGAAACGAUUGAAGUCAGUCGUACCUGUGGGUAAUCAGCCUUUUGGGUGUGAUUUUGUGGAGUGUGAGGAGUUAAACGCCUUCAUGCCUGCAUAUUCGUGCACUUUGGGUGUAUUUACCCGUGUGGUAAGUUAACAUCAAUUUCGGUGGUCAUAAAAUGGCUGGAGGAAUGUAGCUUCGAUCUCGUAUUGAAGUGUUAUAGCCUUCGGUAGAUGUGAUAAUCGGGAUUGAGGAUUGCAACGGAUACCCUUCGGGGCUACCUGUCUGAUCUCUGAUCGUUGCUCUGGUGCCGAAAGCUUGCUUACGGUUAUCAAAGUCGAUGGUCAAUAGGUUAGAACGGGUUAAAUUCGUUAAGGAUGUUGACGUA